UAUUAUUAUUUUGGCAGAUUAGUGCGGUGAAUUUAGAAUUCAUAAAUGUAAGUUAUUCUUACAAGUAAUA
rnacentral:tRNA from 1 species